rnacentral:rRNA from 1 species
UCCUAGUGGCGAACGGGUGAGUAACGCGUUGGUGACCUACCCCAAAGUGUGGGAUAACAGUCCGAAAGGAUUGCUAAUACCGCAUGUGGUCAUUGGAUUUAGAAACUGAUGACUAAAGGAGCAAUUCGCUUUGGGAGGGACCUGCGUCCCAUCAGCUAGUUGGUGAGGUAACGGCUCACCAAGGCGACGACGGGUAGGGGACCUGAGAGGGUGGCCCCCCACAAUGGAACUGAAACACGGUCCAUACACCUACGGGUGGCAGCAGUAGGGAAUAUUGCUCAAUGGGCGAAAGCCUGAAGCAGCAACGCCGCGUGUGCGAUGAAGGCCUUCGGGUCGUAAAGCACUUUUCUGCGAGAUGAGAAAGGACAGUAUCGUAGGAAUAAGUCUCGGCUAACUACGUGCCAGCAGCCGCGGUAAAACGUAGGAGGCAAGCGUUAUCCGGAUUCACUGGGCGUAAAGCGCGUGCAGGUGGCGCGGUAAGUUGGGUGUGAAAUCUCCCGGCUCAACUGGGAGAGGUCAUUCAAUACUACCGUGCUUGAGAGCAGAAGAGGAAGAUGGAAUUCCCGGUGUAGUGGUGAAAUGCGUAGAUAUCGGGAGGAACACCAGUGGCGAAGGCGAUCUUCUGGUCUGUUUCUGACACUCAGACGCGACAGCUAGGGUAGUAAACGGGAUUAGAGACCCCGGUAAUCCUAGCCGUAAACGAUGUGAACUUGGCGUUGGUGGGUUAAA